rnacentral:rRNA from 1 species
GAUGAACGCUGGCGGCGUGCCUAAUACAUGCAAGUCGAGCGAACGGACGAGAAGCUUGCUUCUCUGAUUUUAGCGGCGGACGGGUGAGUAAAACGUGGAUAACCUACCUAUAAGACUGGGAUAACUUCGUGGAACCGUAGCUAAUACCGGAUAAUAUUUUGAACCGCAUGGUUCAAAAGUGAAAGACGGUCUUGCUUUCACUUAUAGAUGGAUCCGCGCUGCAUUAGCUAGUUGGUAAGGUAACGGCUUACCAAGGCAACGAUGCAUAGCCGACCUGAGAGGGUGAUCGGCCACACUGGAACUGAGACACGGUCCAGACUCCUACGGGAGGCAGCAGUAGGGAAUCUUCCGCAAUGGGCGAAAGCCUGAUGGAGCAACGCCGCGUGAGUGAUGAAGGUCUUCGGAUCGUAAAACUCUGUUAUUAGGGAAGAACAUAUGUGUAAGUAACUGUGCACAUCUUGACGGUACCUAAACAGAAAGCCACGGCUAACUCCGUG